GUGGGUAUAGCUCAGUGGUAGAGCAUGUUCUUACCAUGUACAAGGUCCUGGGUUCAAUCUCCAAUGCCUCCA
rnacentral:tRNA from 1 species